rnacentral:lncRNA from 1 species
UUUAAAAUUUUGCAAUUCUGAUUUUAAUCUCAUAUAUUAAAGUACACUUCUAAGCAUUUAUUUGGAUAGUUAUCCACACUCUGUGCAUUAGAAAUAACCCAGAAGCAUAUUAAAAAUACACACGUUGAAGGCCCACGUCCAUAAAUUCUGGGCCCAGGCGUCUGUUCUGUUAGCAUAUGUGAUGUUGGAAAACUACUAGUCCAGUGUCUCUCAGACUUCAAAAUGCCUAGGAAUCACCUGGGGAUCUUGCCUAAAAAUCCAGAUUCUAAGUCAGUCAGUCUGAGGUGAGUGCCUGAGAUUCGGCGAUCCCGAUCCUAAUGAGCUCCCAAGACGAGGUAGCUGCUGCUGGUGCAUACAUCACACCAAUAGCAAGGCCUGGGCACCACACCCAGAUGCAGACGCUCACCAGCUGGCAGCUGGGUCCACACUGGAGGGCAGGGAAAAUAAUCAGACUCUUUAGGACUGGGCUUCCAACACUAAAACAUGAAAUGAUUAACAACGGACUUUACAUACAUAAUCUCAGUUCAUCCACACAUAUACACACAUGUCAGCAACACCACAUCUCUCUGACACUUUUUCCUUCAUCACCUCUCUCUCUAACCACAGCUGGGAAAGGUUCUCUGCUUUUAAGGAUUAAGUAAUUAGACUGCGCCCACUUG